CCUACGGGUGGCAGCAGUAGGGAAUCUUCCACAAUGGGCGAAAGCCUGAUGGAGCAACGCCGCGUGGGUGAAGAAGGUCUUCGGAUCGUAAAACCCUGUUGUUCGAGAAGAAAGUGCGUGAGAGUAACUGUUCACGUUUAGUCGGUAUCUAACCAGAAUGCAACGGCUAACUACGUGCCAGCAGCCGCGGUAAUACGUAGGUGGCAAGCGUUAUCCGGUUUUAUUGGGGUUAAUGGGCACGCAGGCGGUCGUUUCAGUCUAAUGUGAAAGCCUUGGGCUUAACCGGAGUAGUGCAUUGGAAACUGGGAGACUUGAGUGCAGAAGAGGAGAGUGGAACUCGAGGUGUAGCGGUGAAAUGCAUAGAUAUAUGGAAGAACACC
rnacentral:rRNA from 1 species